UACGUAGGGGGCUAGCGUUGUCCGGAAUCAUUGGGCGUAAAGCGCGCGUAGGCGGCCCGGUAAGUCCGUUGUGAAAGUCAAAGGCUCAACCUUUGAAAGCCGAUGGAUACUGCCGGGCUAGAGUCCGGAAGAGGCGAGUGGAACUCCUGGUGUAGCGGUGGAAUGCGCAGAUAUCAGGAAGAACACCAACGGCGAAGGCAGCUCGCUAGGACGGUACUGACGCUGAGACGCGAAAGCGUGGGGAGCGAACAGG
rnacentral:rRNA from 1 species